rnacentral:lncRNA from 1 species
AGUUACAAAUAUGGCGUUUUGGACGGGCUCGAUAGUUUGCUUGGCCUCUACUCAAGGAAUGCUGAUGGUAUAGCAAGAAGGUAUUCUGAGCAUUAUAUCAAUGGGGAAGUUCUAGAUCUUUUGCAAAGCAGGAGCAAGCUGCCCUGUUGUGAGCUCUCCGGUGGAGAGCCCCACAUGGCAAGAAAAUGAGAAGCCCCCUGAACAGACAAGAGCUGAGGCCCAGGAUACAAUAUCCUGAAAAAAACUGAAUCCUGCUGACAGUUGCCCAAGUGAAGCUGGAAGUGGAUCUUUCUGCAGUGGAUCCUUGAGAUGACUGUAGCCCUGGCUGACAACUUGAUUGCUGCCUGUGAAGGACCCUGAACCAGAGGACUCAGCGAAAUUGUGCCCAGAUUCCUGACCUACAGAGGCAGUGAGAUAAUAAAUGCUGUUGAGGUCACAAAGUUUUGAGGUAUUUGUUAAUACAGCAAUGGAUACUUAAUACAGCUUCCUACAUGGUCUCCCUCCUUCGACCUUUACACUACAAUCUGUCGUCCACACAGCAGUCAGAGAUCCUUUUAAAACAUAAGUCAGAUCAUCAUGACACUCACCUCCCUGCUAAGUGUCCUGCAAGGCCUUUCACGGUCUGAUCCCCUAUCCUUUCUCUUUCCUCAUCUCCUAUCACUCUUGCCCUUGCAAAUUUUCUUCCAGCACUCUGGCCUCCUUGCUGUUCUUCAGUAUGGCAAGCAACCUGCUGCCCGGAGCCCACACAC